rnacentral:rRNA from 1 species
GAUGAACGCUGGCGGCGUGCCUAAUACAUGCAAGUCGAGCGAACAGACGAGGAGCUUGCUCCUCUGACGUUAGCGGCGGACGGGUGAGUAACACGUGGAUAACCUACCUAUAAGACUGGGAUAACUUCGGGAAACCGGAGCUAAUACCGGAUAAUAUAUUGAACCGCAUGGUUCAAUAGUGAAAGACGGUUUUGCUGUCACUUAUAGAUGGAUCCGCGCCGCAUUAGCUAGUUGGUAAGGUAACGGCUUACCAAGGCGACGAUGCGUAGCCGACCUGAGAGGGAGAUCGACCACACUGGAACUGAGACACGGUCCAGACUCCUACGGGAGGCAGCAGUAGGGAAUCUUACGCAAUGGGCGAAAGCCUGACGGAGCAACGCCGCGUGAGUGAUGAAGGUCUUCGGAUCGUAAAACUCUGUUAUUAGGGAAGAACAAAUGUGUAAGUAACUAUGCACGUCUUGACGGUACCUAAUCAGAAAGCCACGGCUAACUACGUG